GGGAGCUUGCUCUCUGAUUCAGCGGCGGACGGGUGAGUAAUGCCUAGGAAUCUGCCUAUUAGUGGGGGACAACGUUUCGAAAGGAACGCUAAUACCGCAUACGUCCUACGGGAGAAAGCAGGGGACCUUCGGGCCUUGCGCUAAUAGAUGAGCCUAGGUCGGAUUAGCUAGUUGGUGAGGUAAAGGCUCACCAAGGCGACGAUCCGUAACUGGUCUGAGAGGAUGAUCAGUCACACUGGAACUGAGACACGGUCCAGACUCCUACGGGAGGCAGCAGUGGGGAAUAUUGGACAAUGGGCGAAAGCCUGAUCCAGCCAUGCCGCGUGUGUGAAGAAGGUCUUCGGAUUGUAAAGCACUUUAAGUUGGGAGGAAGGGCAGUAAGUUAAUACCUUACUGUUUUGACGUUACCGACAGAAUAAGCACCGGCUAACUUCGUGCC
rnacentral:rRNA from 1 species